CUAAUAUGAACACAUUCGGAAGUUCAGGUGGGAUUGACCUGAUCUUCUGUAAUUGGUUCUCCUGGCGCGUUCUAAGCCGCGGGCGGUCCUCCCUCGCCCGAUGGUUAUGCGCCCGCCUCGCCUCGCACGUCAUCCGGCGCGCGAGGCUUUUU
rnacentral:sRNA from 1 species